rnacentral:rRNA from 1 species
AGUCGAGCGAACGGACGAGAAGCUUGCUUCUCUGAUGUUAGCGGCGGACGGGUGAGUAACACGUGGAUAACCUACCUAUAAGACUGGGAUAACUUCGGGAAACCGGAGCUAAUACCGGAUAAUAUUUUGAACCGCAUGGUUCAAAAGUGAAAGACGGUCUUGCUGUCACUUAUAGAUGGAUCCGCGCUGCAUUAGCUAGUUGGUAAGGUAACGGCUUACCAAGGCAACGAUGCAUAGCCGACCUGAGAGGGUGAUCGGCCACACUGGAACUGAGACACGGUCCAGACUCCUACGGGAGGCAGCAGUAGGGAAUCUUCCGCAAUGGGCGAAAGCCUGACGGAGCAACGCCGCGUGAGUGAUGAAGGUCUUCGGAUCGUAAAACUCUGUUAUUAGGGAAGAACAUAUGUGUAAGUAACUGUGCACAUCUUGACGGUACCUAAUCAGAAAGCCACGGCUAACUACGUGCCAGCAGCCGCGGUAAUACGUAGGUGGCAAGCGUUAUCCGGAAUUAUUGGGCGUAAAGCGCGCGUAGGCGGUUU